AUGGGCAUGAGGAGCCUCUGGUGGCAGAGCAGUGGCGGCCCGUCUCAGUGGCUUCCCCAAAUCUCAGCAAAAUCUAGCAUUGGCGAGGAACGGGGCACCUGUCUGGUAGCUCGCCCCAGAAGCUCUGAAGGUAAGGUGGACGGCCUGGGGAGAGGCGGCCGCCUCUGGAGGAAGCUCUGUCUCCUCGCUGGCCCGCGUCCUGUUCCCACAGAAGGUUGUCCUUCCCUUUCAGACCGAACGGAAUACAUUGAUCUUCACCGAAAGCUCUCUUGUCCUCCCCAGACAGGUUUAGAUCCCGGAUUCCCCUCCUCCAGCUUUGGAGUGCUCAGAAGAUCAAGCAGGCCAUCCUGCACCCGGACACCAAUGAGAAGAUCUUCAUGCCUUUUAGGAUGUCAGGUAAGCCCUGAGCGAGCCGAAGCUGCUAGCUCUAGAGCGCCGACGGUCACUCCAGGUCCCUUGGACCGACCCCUCCUGUACCAGGUGACAAAGGAAGGAUUCGAAUCCAGAUCCUCCGACAGAGCCACGGUUUUCUGUUCCCUCUGGACUUCCUGGCAGCCCCCACACCGAGCCCUCCCCCGGCAGGGCUGUGACCCUCCUGUGCCCCAAAGAAGGUCUGCACACGCUGCUUCGCUCUCCCACCAGUUGUGA
rnacentral:lncRNA from 1 species